rnacentral:rRNA from 1 species
CCUACGGGCGGCUGCAGUGGGGAAUAUUGGACAAUGGGGGGAACCCUGAUCCAGCCAUGCCGCGUGUGUGAAGAAGGCCCUCGGGUUGUAAAGCACUUUCAGUGAGGAAGAACGCCUGGUGGUUAAUACCCAUCAGGAAAGACAUCACUCACAGAAGAAGCACCGGCUAACUCCGUGCCAGCAGCCGCGGUAAUACGGAGGGUGCGAGCGUUAAUCGGAAUUACUGGGCGUAAAGCGCGCGUAGGUGGCUUGAUAAGCCGGUUGUGAAAGCCCCGGGCUCAAUCUGGGAACGGCAUCCGGAACUGUCAAGCUAGAGUGCAGGAGAGGAAGGUAGAAUUCCCGGUGUAGCGGUGAAAUGCGUAGAGAUCGGGAGGAAUACCAGUGGCGAAGGCGGCCUUCUGGACUGACACUGACACUGAGGUGCGAAAGCGUGGGUAGCAAACAGGAUUAGAUACCCUGGUAGUC